GAGAGAGUUCCUACAACUCCAAGUGUUUGAUCCAAGCUUGAAGACUUACUUUGGUGAAGUGAUUUUGGUGAUUCAAGCUCACUAUAAGAGAGGUUUGGGAAACGAAGGUGACCGUAACUAAGACGUUUGACAUCGAUUGCUUCUUUUGAUUGACAGAUCGGGGAUGGACUAACGGUCGAGGGCUUUCUUAGCUUUG